rnacentral:pre_miRNA from 1 species
AGUCGCUGUGCUGCGUGCAAGAUGUGAAUUUUUAAAACUUAUCUUGUGCGUGUGACAGCGGCUAUU